rnacentral:rRNA from 1 species
CGGAUUCAGAGACGGGAAUCCUUCAGUUCGGCUGGACCGAAGACAGGUGCUGCAUGGCUGUCGUCAGCUCGUGUCGUGAGAUGUUGGGUUAAGUCCCGCAACGAGCGCAACCCCCGUCCUUAGUUGCUACCAUUUAGUUGAGCACUCUAAGGAGACUGCCGGUGAUAAGCCGCGAGGAAGGUGGGGAUGACGUCAAGUCCUCAUGGCCCUUACGGGCUGGGCUACACACGUGCUACAAUGGCGGUGACAAUGGGACGCUAAGGGGCAACCCUUCGCAAAUCUCAAAAAGCCGUCUCAGUUCGGAUUGGGCUCUGCAACUCGAGCCCAUGAAGUUGGAAUCGCUAGUAAUCGUGGAUCAGCAUGCCACGGUGAAUACGUUCCCGGGCCUUGUACACACCGCCCGUCACACCAUGGGAGUUGGUUUUACCUGAAGACGGUGCGCUAACCCGCAAGGGAGGCAGCUGGCCACGGUAGGGUCAGCGACUGGGGUGAAGUCGUAACAAGGUAACCGU